UACGUAGGGUGCGAGCGUUAAUCGGAAUUACUGGGCGUAAAGCGUGCGCAGGCGGUUCGUUAUGUCCGUUGUGAAAGCCCCGGGCUCAACCUGGGAAUGGCAAUGGAAACUGGCGGGCUCGAGUGUGGCAGAGGGGGGUGGAAUUCCGCGUGUAGCAGUGAAAUGCGUAGAGAUGCGGAGGAACACCGAUGGCGAAGGCAGCCCCCUGGGCUAACACUGACGCUCAGGCACGAAAGCGUGGGGAGCAAACGGG
rnacentral:rRNA from 1 species